GACGAACGCUGGCGGCGUGCUUAACACAUGCAAGUCGAACGGAAAGGCCCUGCUUUUGUGGUGUGCUCGAUUGGCGCACGGGUGAGUAACACGUGAGUAACCUGCCCUUGACUUUGGGAUAACUUCAGGAAACUGGGGCUAAUACCGGAUAGGAUCUCCUGCUGCAUGUUGUUGGUUGGAAAGUUUCGGCGGUUGUGGAUGUACUCGCGGCUUAUCAGCUUGUUUGUGGGGUAGUGGCUUACCAAGCCUUUGAAGGAUAGCCGGCCUGAGAGGGUGACCGGCCACAUGGGGACUGAGAUACGGCCCAGACGGCUACGUGAGGCAGCAGUGGGGAAUAUGGCAGAAUGGGCCGAAGUCUGAUGCAGAAACGCCGCGUGCGGGAUGAAGGCUUUCGGGGUGUAAACAGAUUUGGCCGGUGACGAAGAGUGAGUGACGGUAAUGGGUAAAGAAGCACCGGCUAACUACGUG
rnacentral:rRNA from 1 species